rnacentral:rRNA from 1 species
GGACCAUCAUGUCGGUCGUGCCUCGGUACGUACUGGUAUUGUUGGUUUCUCCCUUGUGACGAACCAUGAUGUCAUUUAUUUGGUGUUGUGGGGAAUCAGGACUGUUACUUUGAAAAAAUUAGAGCGUUUAAAGCAGGCUCACGCUUGAAUACAUUAGCAUGGAAUAAUAGAAUAGGACGUCAGUUCUAUUUUGUUGGUUUCUAGGAUCGACGUA